rnacentral:rRNA from 1 species
GUGCCAGCAGCCGCGGUAAUUCCAGCUCCAAUAGCGUAUAUUAAAGUUGUUGUGGUUAAAAAGCUCGUAGUUGAACCUUGGGCCUGGCUGGCCGGUCCGCCUCACCGCGUGCACUGGUCCGGCCGGGCCUUUCCCUCUGUGGAACCCCAUACCCUUCACUGGGCGUGGCGGGGAAACAGGACAUUUACUUUGAAAAAAUUAGAGUGCUCCAGGCAGGCCUAUGCUCGAAUACAUUAGCAUGGAAUAAUAAAAUAGGACGCGCGGUUCUAUUUUGUUGGUUUAUAGGACCGCCGUAAUGAUUAAUAGGGACAGUCGGGGGCAUCAGUAUUCAACUGUCAGAGGUGAAAUUCUUGGAUCAGUUGAAGACUAACUACUGCGAAAGCAUUUGCCAAGGAUGUUUUCAUUAAUCAGGAACGAAAGUUAGGGGAUCGAAGACGAUCAGAUACCGUCGUAGUCUUAACCAUAAACUAUGCCGACUAGGGAUCGGACGGUGUUAUUCAUGACCCGUUCGGCACCUUACGAGAAAUCAAAGUGCUUGGGCUCCAGGGGGAGUAUGGUCGCAAGGCUGAAACUUAAAGAAAUUGACGGAAGGGCACCACCAGGGGUGGAGCCUGCGGCUUAAUUUGACUCAACACGGGGAAACUCACCAGGUCCAGACACAAUAAGGAUUGACAGAUUGAGAGCUCUUUCUUGAUUUUGUGGGUGGUGUGCAUGGCCGUUCUUAGUUGGUGGGGUGACUUGUCUGCUUAAUUGCGAUAACGAACGAGACCUUAACCUGCUAAAUAGCCCGCAUUGCUCCGGCAGUGCGCUGGCUUCUUA